CUUGCCAUCGUUAGCCUUCGUUAGCAAACAAAAGAUCAUUAAAUGGAAGACAAAAGAUAGAUGGCAAGCAGCCACAAAAAUCACUCAAGCGAACUAAAUAUUUUGCUUCAAUCCAGUAACCAUGUUUACAGUAGUGAACGAUACAUCAUACCAUAACAAUUAUGAUAUUUAGUCCUCAGAUAUAGAUAUAUAGUUUUCACAAAUCUAUCUUGUGGAUAUAUUGUGGGG
rnacentral:lncRNA from 1 species